GUACAUACCACAUGAUGACUAUGGACCAUUCCUUCAGAGUGUAAAUGGUUUGGCAGGAAAUUCAUCACACUACUGGCAACUGCUGAAUGGUACAACCCCACUCAAUGUUGGUAUGGGAUGUUACCUUCCAACAGCAAAUGAAGUCGUCACCCUGAACUACACGAAAAUUUAAGACCAUCUAAAAUCUUAUUGUGACUUACGGUCAACCAAUACGCUUUGAUCUUUGGCACGUUGAGGUUAAUAAUUGACUUGUUGUGUCAUUUUUUUGCUUGGGAGUCUUCUAAUCAUAAAUCAGUAGCCUAUCACUAGCUUAGAUUCUUUUACUGGGUUUCUGUCAGACUUUAUGAAUUAAUUACAGCGUUAAUCUACAAUUCUGCCACAGUGUAGUAAUCUGGAGUAAUAGAAAACCCCAUUAGUCACAAGAGCAGUCAGUAAAACAUAUACAACACAACAACUUGAACUGUUUUUUAAUUUACUGCCUUUAUGGCAGCUUUUAAUGUGUUUGAGAGCAAUUAGUAGUUCUCAACUUGCCCCUGACUGCCAUAAUUUUACAUUCAAAUUCCAUUAUUUGAUGCUUACAAGUGGUCUCAGUUUUACUGUAAAAGGAUGGUAUGGUUAUACAGUAGACUGCCCAGAGACUGCUGGCCAGCAAAAACAGCAAGGGGGGUCAGCUGCUGACUCCAUGUCAAAAUAGCUUCUUUAUCCUGCAAAUCAAGUUAUCAACAGCUUGCGAGUCAAAAGGCUUCUGAGAUUGACUGGGCUGCUGACCUCCCCUAUAUUUGAGCUUUUUGGGGCUCCUAGAGGGGUGUGAGAGUGGCAAAAUAAGAUCAAAUUCAUUGCUAAAUAAUUUUUGUAUUAGUGCAUUUUUAUUGUUGAAUAAAAUGUUACUGAUUAUUAGUGUUAUCUUCCUCAAGCAUUAAAUAAAGCAUAGGCUUAUUUAAAGUGUUGUUAACAUGUCCACCAUUAUGUAUCCUAAGACAAUGACAGCUCUAGACCAAGGGUGUCAAAAAUAAGGCCAGAGGCCAGAAACGGCUGUAAGAUUAUCAUACUAUCUUAUGCCACCUUAUCCUUCUAAUCAAAUAAUUGUUGAAUCAUUAUACGGCUAUAGGCCACAUUAUGCCUUGGAUUAAAGAUUGUGAAAUCAUUACACUGUUUUAUGAUGCAUUAUACUGCUGAGUUAUAAGAAAUGCUGCUUGUAUAGAAUCAUGGCCUUCCUUUUCUGAUUACAAAGAGAACAGAACAUACUGUAGAGGUUUUCUGCCCCAUCUCAUCAGGCAGCGAUAAAACAGUAAGCCAAAGCCGUCACUCGGGCACUGUAAGAGAUAAAGAAUGUGGAUGUUUAGGUUUUAUGACUUUGGAGAGGGGCUGAAGCUAUAAGAAUGUGAGAAACAGUCAGACACUUCCAGAUCUGGCGGACACCCUCCUGUCCACAUCUCCCCUCCGGAUGUUUAUGCUCAAAGUGUUGUAUGGAAUAAUGAGAAUUGUAUGGAAUAAAGAGAUUGUUGACUGAGCAUUUA